AGAAGUGAAGGCAAUAUGACUACAACUGCCACCCCAUUGAGUGACAGGGCUGAUCACUGGUCUGUUGGCUAGUGAUGUCCCUACCUCCCUCACCGCACUGUGUGCACCCCUCCCAAAGUUACACACUCAACCUCUCCCAAAAGAGAAAGAUCUCUUUGGUCAAGAGUAUACAAGUCCCUGCAUUCCUCUGCUGGAACUUUAAAGCAAGCUCUCAAAACAGGGAGUAGAAAAUCUUAUUGUCACAAUACAUAUUUACACAGUCUGACCCAUAAAAUGAUGGCUACA
ensembl:misc_RNA 7SK 7SK RNA